UUCAAUGCGAUGAAAAGAAAAAGUACAUGAUGGAAGGUUGCAAAGAGAGGAACUGGAUGGUGUAAAGUUUCGGACCGAUUCAUGGAAUACACCUUGGAGCUUCGAAAUGACGUAUACCUGCGUUAAAGGUUUGAGUGCCUGUGCGAACAGGAAAAAAGGUGGUACCGCGUUUUAACGUCCUUUUA
rnacentral:ncRNA from 1 species